rnacentral:lncRNA from 1 species
GGGGAGGGAAAGGAAGUAGCGUGCGCGCGUCACGUGAGCGCGAGCUGUCUGCCGCCAUCUUAUGCUAGUGAGGCGGGGGCGAGGCCGGGCCGUGCGAGAGGAGACCCUGUGCUGCAGGCGAUCCUGGGACCAUCCAUUACGUGUUUUUCUUACACAGAGGAUAACCUCGCACCGAGUUCCUGUGUUACUAGCUUUCUUGGCAUGACCAACAGCUGUGUCAUGCAAUAGCCAUUCGUGAUGAGUUUCUGCUCCACUGUGGGAAUGCUGCAUUUGCUCAGAGUGAUGAGGCAAAAUCCCGCUGCCUUGAAGAACACAGGAAUCCUGGCACUCAGGAGAAUGGAUGUCUGCAGAGAGGACCUUGCAGUCUAGCCCGGGUGCUUGUCAUUUGGCACAGAUGACAGUUAGAUUGGCUGUGGUUGAAAAUAAAGAGACAGUGGUAAGAAAGCGGUAAAUGGAAGUACUGAGUGGUGGCUUUUGUGUUUUACCUGGCUGUACGGACAACACACGCUUCCCCAGCAGAAUAAACACAAGGCUCAGGAGACACCAGAGCACUGUGCAGUGAACAGCCCAGCACAGCUAAUUGCUGUAGCCUGUGAAGAAAAUGGUGUUUCUCAUCUGACCACUCAAUUGAUAAUAUAAAAACUCAAUGAAACCUUAGAAAAAUGGAUUGAUUUAAAGCACAAAGCCAAUUGUUCCCAAUCACUAACAUUGCUUAGAAGAAAAACGUUUGCUGCCUUUGAGGAACCUUCACAGAGAUUAGCAGAUCCAUCAUAUUAUAGCAAACAGACAUUUACCACUGCAGAAACCUCAACAUAUUUCAGGCACUCAUCCCGCUGAACCAGGAAGUAAGAAUGUCUCCAGCUUUGAUUUGUUCCCUUUGUGACCUCUAAUCUCUAUUUACUAGUCUGUCCCAUCCAAUUAGGGAUAAUAAAACACCAUCUCUUUGCAUGUCCUUGGACUGAAAUGGAUCCUCCCUUCCUCUUGCCAGUCCAUAAAACGGCACAGUGAGCAGAAAUAGCAUGGACACAAAAAUACUCCCUGUGUGCUGAUUUCAUGGGGGCCUGCAGAGAGGUCCAGGGAGCCAGCUUGCACAUUGGCUUAGCUGAUGUUUCUCAUAGUUUCUAAUGCACUCACCCACUUCCCCUGGACAUACAGCCACCCAACCUUGGACCAUCUGCGAUGUUAAAAGCUUGGGGGGAGCCUGCUCAUUCUUCUAGUAGUUACCCAGCACAUUUCAGCUCACCAGAGUCCUGCAGUCCCUCCUCCUCGUUGCUGGUCACAGCCCUGGGAGCCUUUGUUGCCUCUUGGGUCUGGAAAGAUAAAGCUCCAGCUGACUGUCCUGUCAUCCCUGUGUGAAGCUGUCCUCUCAAGAGCUUUGCAAUGUUUUUCUCUUGCCAUCUUUUGUUUUCCAGGCCAGCUUCC